UACGUAGGGGGCAAGCGUUGUUCGGAUUUACUGGGCGUAAAGGGCGCGUAGGCGGCCAGCACAGUUCAGUUGUGAAAUCUCCGAGCUUAACUCGGAAAGGUCAACUGAUACUGUGCGGCUAGAGUGCGGAAGGGGCAACUGGAAUUCUUGGUGUAGCGGUGAAAUGCGUAGAUAUCAAGAGGAACACCUGCGGCGAAGGCGGGUUGCUGGGCCGACACUGACGCUGAUGCGCGAAAGCUAGGGGAGCGAACGGG
rnacentral:rRNA from 1 species